rnacentral:rRNA from 1 species
AUUGAACGCUGGCGGCAUGCCUUACACAUGCAAGUCGAACGGCAGCAUGGAGGAGCUUGCUCCUCUGAUGGCGAGUGGCGAACGGGUGAGUAAAGCAUCGGAACGUACCGUGUAGUGGGGGAUAACGUAGCGAAAGUUACGCUAAUACCGCAUACGCACUGAGGUGGAAAGCAGGGGAUCGCAAGACCUUGCGCUAUACGAGCGGCCGAUGUCAGAUUAGCUAGUUGGUAGGGUAAAGGCCUACCAAGGCGACGAUUGUAGCGGGUCUGAGAGGAUGAUCCGCCACACUGGGACUGAGACACGGCCCAGACUCCUACGGGAGGCAGCAGUGGGGAAUUUUGGACAAUGGGGGAAACCCUGAUCCAGCCAUGCCGCGUGAGUGAAGAAGGCCUUCGGGUUGUAAAGCUCUUUCGGCUGGGAAGAAAUCGCACAGGCUAAUACUCUGUGUGGAUGACGGUACCAGCAUAAGAAGCACCGGCUAACUACGUGCCAGCCGCCGCAGUAAAAC